rnacentral:rRNA from 1 species
GACGAACGCUGGCGGCGUGCCUAAUACAUGCAAGUCGAGCGGACGAAUCGAAAGCUUGCUUUUGCUUCGUUGGCGGCGGACGGGUGAGUAACACGUGGGCAACCUGCCCUGUAGACGGGGAUAACACCGAGAAAUCGGUGCUAAUACCGGAUAACACGAAAUGUCGCAUGACGUUUCGUUGAAAGACGGCGCAAGCUGUCGCUACAGGAUGGGCCCGCGGCGCAUUAGCUAGUUGGUGAGGUAACGGCUCACCAAGGCGACGAUGCGUAGCCGACCUGAGAGGGUGAUCGGCCACACUGGGACUGAGACACGGCCCAGACUCCUACGGGAGGCAGCAGUAGGGAAUCUUCCGCAAUGGACGAAAGUCUGACGGAGCAACGCCGCGUGAGCGAAGAAGGCCUUCGGGUCGUAAAGCUCUGUUGUUAGGGAAGAACAAGUAACGCAGUAACUGGCGUUACCGUGACGGUACCUAACGAGAAAGCCACGGCUAACUACGUG